CACGUAGUUAGCCGGUGCUUCUUCUACACCUACCGUCACCACCCGAAGACGGCUUCGUCGGUGUCGAAAGAGGUUUACAACCCGAAGGCCGUCAUCCCCCACGCGGCGUUGCUGCGUCAGGCUUUCGCCCAUUGCGCAAGAUUCCCCACUGCUGCCUCCCGUAGGAGUCUGGGCCGUGUCUCAGUCCCAGUGUGGCCGGUCACCCUCUCAGGCCGGCUACCCGUCGUCGCCUUGGUAGGCCAUCACCCCACCAACAAGCUGAUAGGCCGCGGGCUCAUCCUGCACCGCCGGAGCUUUCCACACCACACCAUGCGGCACGAUGUCAUAUCCGGUAUUAGACCCCGUUUCCAGGGCUUAUCCCAGAGUGCAGGGCAGAUUACCCACGUGUUACUCACCCGUUCGCCACUCAUCCACGGUGCAAGCACCGCUUCAGCGUUCGACUUGCAUGUGUUAAGCACGCCGCCAGCGUUCGUCCUGAGCCAGGAUCAAACUCU
rnacentral:rRNA from 1 species